UACAGAGGUCUCAAGCGUUUGUUCGGAUUCAUUGGGCGUAAAGGGUGCGUAGGCGGCGCGGUAAGUCGGGUGUGAAAUCUCGGAGCUUAACUCCGAAACUGCAUUCGAUACUGGCGUGCUUGAGGACUGGAGAGGAGACUGGAAUUCAUGGUGUAGCAGUGAAAUGCGUAGAGAUCAUGAGGAAGACCAGUGGCGAAGGCGGGUCUCUGGACAGUUCCUGACACUGAGACACGAAGGCCAGGGGGAGCAAACGGG
rnacentral:rRNA from 1 species